AGUGAACGCUGGCGGUAGGCCUAACACAUGCAAGUCGAACGGCAGCACAGUAAGAGCUUGCUCUUACGGGUGGCGAGUGGCGGACGGGUGCGGAAUACAUCGGAAUCUACUUUUUCGUGGGGGAUAACGUAGGGAAACUUACGCUAAUACCGCAUACGACCUACGGGUGAAAGCAGAGGAUCUUCUGACCUUGCGCGAUUGAAUGAGCCGAUGUCGGAUUAGCUAGUUGGCGGGGUAAAGGCCCACCAAGGCGACGAUCCGUAGCUGGUCUGAGAGGAUGAUCAGCCACACUGGGACUGAGACACGGUCCAGACUCCUACGGGAGGCAGCAGUGGGGAAUAUUGGACAAAGGGCGCAAGCCUGAUCCAGCCAUACCGCGUGGGUGAAGAAGGCCUUCGGGUUGUAAAGCCCUUUUGUUGGGAAAGAAAAGCAGCAGGUUAAUACCCCGCUGUUCUGACGGUACCCAAAGAAUAAGCACCGGCUAACUUCGUG
rnacentral:rRNA from 1 species